rnacentral:rRNA from 1 species
GGAGGAAAGCAGGGGAUCGUAAGACCUUGCGUUAAUGGAGCGGCCGAUAUCUGAUUAGCUUGUUGGUGAGGUAAAGGCUCACCAAGGCGACGAUCAGUAGCUGGUUUGAGAGAACGACCAGCCACACUGGAACUGAGACACGGUCCAGACUCCUACGGGAGGCAGCAGUGGGGAAUUUUGGACAAUGGGGGCAACCCUGAUCCAGCCAUUCCGCGUGAGUGAAGAAGGCCUUCGGGUUGUAAAGCUCUUUCGCAAGGGAAGAAAACUUAUGAUCGAAUAAAUCAUGAGGUUGACGGUACCUUGAUAAGAAGCACCGGCUAACUACGUGCCAGCAGCCGCGGUAAUACGUAGGGUGCGAGCGUUAAUCGGAAUUACUGGGCGUAAAGCGUGCGCAGGCGGUUUUGUAAGUCGGAUGUGAAAUCCCCGGGCUCAACCUGGGAACUGCCUUUGAAACUACAAAGCUAG